GACGAACGCUGGCGGCGUGCUUAACACAUGCAAGUCGAGCGAUGAAGUUCUUCGGAAAUGGAUUAGCGGCGAACGGGUGAGGAACACGUGAAGAAUCUGCCCUCCACUUUGGGAUAACACCGGGAAACCGGUGCUAAUACUGAAUAUUGAAACAUAAGUGGCAUCACUGAGUUUUGAAAGAAUUUCGGUGGAGGAUGACUUCGCGGCCUAUCAGCUAGUUGGUGAGGUAAUGGCUCACCAAGGCAACGACGGGUAGCCGGCCUGAGAGGGCGACCGGCCACACUGGGACUGAGACACGGCCCAGACUCCUACGGGAGGCAGCAGUGGGGAAUAUUGGGCAAUGGAGGAAACUCUGACCCAGCGACGCCGCGUGCGGGAUGAAGGCCUUCGGGUUGUAAACCGCUUUCAGUAGGGAAGAAGCGAAAGUGACGGUACCUACAAAAGAAGCACCGGCUAACUAUGUG
rnacentral:rRNA from 1 species